rnacentral:rRNA from 1 species
GACGAACGCUGGCGGCGUGCUUAACACAUGCAAGUCGGAGCGGGUAAGGCCCUUUCGGGGGUACACGAGCGGCGAACGGGUGAGUAACACGUGGGUGACCUGCCCUCAGCUCUGGGGAUAAGCCUGGGAAACUGGGUCUAAUACCGGAUAUGACCCAUGACGCAUGUCGUAGGGGUGGAAAGGCCUUGUGCGGCGUGAGGAUGGGCCCG